rnacentral:lncRNA from 1 species
UAGUCCACACUCUGCCUAACACUACGCCCUACCUCACAUUCCUAUUGACAUCUGCUGCAGAUCACACCCUUGUGAUGGACAAACUGCUCAGUACAGUCCCACCCACCCAGCCUCCUUGUCCUGGGCACGAGGUUUUUGCCUCCCUGAUUUGGAGUAUUUGGCCCUUACUAGAGAGCUGCCAGAUGAGAACUCAGAGGCUCCUCCCGGCUCACCUGCAUCCUCAAAUACGCCUUCUGUCCAGUCCUAAUCUCCAGCCCAUCGACCUCCGCUGGAGGAAUGGGGGCCAGUGCUGGAAGGCCUGCAUGUUGGUCACCCAGUUUGCAGUCCACGUAGAGAUGUAGGGCAGGGCUGGGUCUGGAGGGACCUCGGAGUCGCAGGAGAACUGUGUGUGUGCGCCCAUCAGCCAGGCCCGCUUGCUGUAGGUUCACGGCGUGGACUUUGCCAUCCUCCCGCUGGUAUCGCACCAGUACUGCCCAGGAGGGGAGAUCAGUAUGGGCGCUAUCCCCCACCCCCUGCCUCCCAGCUGAGCCUUGGAUCAACUCUGCUAGAUACCACAUCUCUAGGGCCCCUAUCCCUAAUUCUACUAUGUGGCUCUCAACACCUUGUAUUUAAUAGGUACACAAUAAAUGUUUUUGAAAUUGCUUUAGAGGCCAGGCACGGUGGCUCACACCUGUAAUCCCAGCACUUUAGAAGGCCAAGGUGGGCAGAUCACUUGAGGUCAGAAGUUCGAGAACAGCCUGGUCAACAUGGCGAAACCCUGUUUCUACUAAAAAUACAAAAGUUAGCCAGGCAUGGUGGUGGGC